rnacentral:rRNA from 1 species
AUUAGGAAUCUUGCGCAAUGGGCGAAAGCCUGACGCAGCGACGCCGCGUGGAGGAGGAAGUCUUUCGGGAUGUAAACUCCUUUUGACGAGGAAGAAACAAAUGACGGUACUCGUCGAAUAAGCCCCGGCUAACUACGUGCCAGCAGCCGCGGUAAUACGUAGGGGGCGAGCGUUGUCCGAAGUUACUGGGCGUAAAGCGCGCGUAGGCGGGGGAGCAAGUCCGCUGUGAAAGCCCGCAGCUUAACUGCGGAGGGUCGGUGGAUACUGCUUCUCUUGAAGGGACUAGGGGGAGAUGGAAUUACCGGUGUAGCGGUGAAAUGCGUAGAGAUCGGUAGGAACACCAGUGGCGAAGGCGGUCUCCUGGGGUUGUCUUGACGCUGAGGCGCGAAAGCUGGGGGAGCGAACGG